rnacentral:rRNA from 4 species
AGGAGAAGUCGUAACAAGGUUUCCGUAGGUGAACCUGCGGAAGGAUCAUUGUCGAAAAUUGCCAAGCAGAGCGACCCGCGGACAUGUUGAAACAAAUCGUCGGGGGCACGGCGUCUAACGCGGCACGGUGCCCUCGACCGCCGGCCGAGCCCGCACCUUACGGCCUGCUCCAGGAGCGGCAACGGGGGUGCGGGGCAAGGCUUGGCACAAGAAUGAACCCCGGCGCGGAUCGCGCCAAGGAACGGUAACAUAGCGUGCGCUGCCUUGCCGCCGGAUGCCCGGCGAGCGAGGUGGCGACCUGUCGUAUCUGAACGACUCUCGGCAACGGAUAUCUCGGCUCUCGCAUCGAUGAAGAACGUAGCGAAAUGCGAUACUUGGUGUGAAUUGCAGAAUCCCGUGAACCAUCGAGUCUUUGAACGCAAGUUGCGCCCGAAGCCUCUAGGCUGAGGGCACGUCUGCCUGGGCGUCACGCAUAGCGUCGCCCGCGACCAAGCCACCGCGUCUCUGCAUGCUAGGUUGGGGCGGAGAGUGGCCUUCCGUGCGCCGUUGUGCGGCUGGCCUAAAAUCGGAGCUCGGCGACUGCGCCACGACGUCCGGUGGUCGACAAGGCGAAGGCCAAGGUUGCAUCGCGUCGCGCUCGGCACGUCGCCCGUGAAGCUCGCACGACCCCGCCGCGCCGUCCUUUCGGCACCAACGCAGCGACCC